CUCCAUUGGUGACCACGUUUUGAAACUGACUGUAGAAAAACGUGAGAGACGCUCCAAAACUAUUUUGUUUGUUUUGUUUUUUCUUUCACUGAAGCACUGACUUUUCUUACUCUAAAACACUGAAAUAUCCCUUUGGAGAUCAGUAAACUACUUGAACAGUAAAGUAUCUAUCUAUCUAUCUAUCUAUCUAUCUAUCUAUCUAUCCAAACACAGUUCAACAAGCGCAAUGUCUUCAGAAAAGGACCGCCUUGAUGCCCUGCUUGAGGAGAGCACAUCUUUUCUGGAGGAAUUUAACCCACCACAGGUAAUGUGCCUUACAUAGAGACUGUCUUCAACAGACACUACUGUGAAGUACUCCAUCAGAUUUAGAUCUGUGCUUCUUUAUCAUGUGAUAUGGUUGAUUUCCAGCCUAAGAAAAAAAGGGAAAAAAAGCACCACCAAGAACCAAAAGUUAGCUGGAGCAGAGAAUCAGCCAAUUUGCAGACCGGAACCUUAAGGGGGUAAGUGUUCUUUAAUUAUUUGUGUGAAUUAGCGAGUCUGUUUAGUGCCAAUAGUAACUAAUAUCUGCUAUUCCAUGGAAUGUUGUAAUUAUCCACAUCUGUCUGCUAUCUAACCCAUUCCAUGUAUCCACUGUAUUAGCAUACUUCGUUAGUCCUUCCGUUAUAUCAAAAUAGUUACCAUCAGUAAUCUCUUUUAAUAUUCUUAUCACUUAAUAAUCAAAGACCAAUCUCUCCAUUGAUGACCAUGUUCUGCAACUGACUGUAGACAACGUGAGAAAGACGCUCUCCACAAUAAAAGCGUUAUAUAUUUGUUUUGUUUUUUAGUUUUACUUAUUUUUUACUUCACCUUUCACGGGAAUUCCUGCUGCAACACUGACAUUUCCCUUUGGAGAUCAGUAAACUACUUGAACAGUAAAGUAUCUAUCUAUCUAUCCAAACACAGUUCAAUAAGGGUAGUGUCUUCAGAAAAGGACCGCCUUGAUGCCCUGCUUGAGGAGAGCACAUCUUUUCUAGAGGAAUUUAACCCACCACAGCCUAAGAAAAAAAGGGAAAAAAAGCACCACCAAGAACCAAAAGUUAGCUGGAGCAGAGAAUCAGC
rnacentral:lncRNA from 1 species